CAUCUCAUUCUCUCUUUCUUAACAGAUCAUGUUAUAACCUAAGAUCACAGAAAGUCCUGAUCACGUUUCUCUGCUGUCACCUGUGGGCUCCUCCAGAGCCGUGAAGAAGGGGAAACUCCAGCCCCACCAUGAGAAGACUGGGUCUUCUGCGCAUGGCAACUCAACCCAUGUGAGAGUCCACUUAUGUGAGUACCCAGCAGCACACUUUGCUGUCUGUGGACAUUGACUGCCAUCUAAGAGACAAGCCAGCUCCCUCCUCUCCCCUUAGAAGCCACUGUAUUAGAGCCUCCAUGUGCAUUUGCUAUGACAUACAUCAAUGUUGAUGAGAGACAGGAACACUGCCGGGUGAUCUUGAGCUGCCAAAAUAAUCAGCUCUGUGCGCAACAUGGCUUAAAGGAGUUUUCAGUUAGCAGCAUGCAUCCACUAAAGAACUUAGACACUCAUAUUUUUUCUGGGGACUUCCACACUCUACACUCUUGCCACACAGGCAAGGCGCUUUUGGCCAAUCCUGUGGAAAAGCGGAUGUAUCGGAGCGUGGAGAACCUUCACUGGGCAACAGUAGCUGACUCUGGGCUGUAUUCUCACUGCCGGAGCCUGGAUAACGAGAUCAUCUUUCGCUAUAGAGGCACCCGUCAGUGGUCAGAAGGCUGUGUGGAUGUGGCCCCUGUACGGAGCACAUUGGACUCUUUGAGAAAUCUUUCCAUCCGUCCUAAACAGACAUCGCAGUCAGCACAGAAUGUGCUCCUCCCUCCCUAUGUCAAAGUGCCUCAGUGGCUCUUCCCUUCUGCAGAGGACAGAGCCCUACGCGAGGAUGCCAAAAAAGAGCUGAAGGAGAAGCUGAGGCUGCACAGCAGUAAAGUGGCAGAGCCCAGCAAGCCAGUACGUCCACAGGCAGCCCUGACUGACCUGACAGCACAGGAGUUUUCUGAAUGCCAGAUGUGCCAGCAGUACAAGAACGGUUGUGCUGUCAGCUGCUGCACAGUUUUGGUGGAACAUGCUGCCCUAAGACAUGGCCUCACAGGGAGACAGAGACUCUGUGUCGCACACAGGAUCAUCAGUCCAGAAGACAUCAAACAGGAGGCUCAGAGGAGGCUUCGGCUCCACAGGCAGAAUAGCUCCCCUAGCUUGCCCUUCCAGCAUGCUGAGGAAAGCCAUGAGAUGGAGAAAUCCAGAACAGCAGAAUCCCUUGAACGACUCAGUGGGGAAACAGAUGUCAAAGAAACACUGGGGCAGAGCAGGAAAAGCCACUGCAAAGGGAGGCUGUACAUACCCACCUUUGAGGAAUUCAAGCAAAUGAUAAGUAAGGAGGCAAAUUCAUCUGCUGGCAGCAGUGAGACAACAAAGUGCUUGAGUGAGGGGCUGCUUGCAAACCAGCCCCUGGAUGAGGAGAGCAAUAGGAACAUCUGUCCAGAAGGUUUGAGAACCAAAGCUGUGAAUGAAGCUGCCAUCACAGUACAGGACGAUGAUGAUGUGUUCCAAGAAAACCACACCUCUGCUGGAUUUUCGCAAUAUCCAGUCACGUGGGAUGGUUUCAGGCUAAGCAGCCCUGAAGUUAAGGACAGAACUGUCCAGAUCUCCAGCCUGGAUAUAUCCCCAGUCCCUAUUUGCUCUAGCCCUAUUCCACGAUCACCUUUGCAGGCAGUAGCAAUAUGCAGAGCUGGACAGGAGAUCUUCAGUGGUGAGCAGCAGAAAGGAGAGACAAGACAAUUAAAUGAUGUCCUCCACCUUGCAGGGCAGUCACUGGCUUCUGAAGCCCAGUCCUCUUGCUGUCCAUCGCUGCUGUUAGAAGGCACGGACUUGUCAAGCUAUGGAGCUAAGCUACAAAAAAUGAAGGAUGAAUUCAUAGGUUCAGCCCUGGAACUUAUUAAGAAAAGCUGCAAUGCUGAGUCUGCUGCCAAAUCCCCCUCUGAGGGACAGUGUGAUCUGAAGGAAGACGAUCGCCCACCUCCAGAGGACAGCCAGCAAGCCACAGCAAUGUCCAUGGCAACAGAGAGCUGGGAGAAUAAGACAAGCAAUGAGAAAUCGAGUGAUACUCAACCUGCAGGAAACACCUCCAGUCCCAGCUGCCGCCGAUCCAGCUCUGACAUCGUCCAUGAGAGCACGGAUGGUGCCAAGGCCCAGAGGGAGUGCCGGCUGCGGCCACAUUUCAGUGACCCCAUGCCAACAGAUUCAGUGAAGAGGAAGCAGCUGGAGCUGAAGAUUGCAGCUGCAGCACGGCAGCACGCACAGAAGCGCCGGCAGGAGCGAGACUACGGUCCAGUGGUAGCAAAAGCCAACCUUGGCCAUGGCAGCAGCUUUGAUGAGACUCGGCGCACCCCACGUGGCUCCCUCCGUUCCAGACAUCACUGGAGCAACGUCAGCAGCCUGAGCACAGACAGUGGGAUUGUGGGUGUGAACGAUGUCCGUGAUGACCUGGAUCCCAGUGAGGCCACCCGGACCAAGUCUGCAGAGGUGGAGAGGGCAGACAGUGGCAUUAGCCAGAUGUCAGCCAGGAAGUGGAGGAACAGGGCAUCCGAAACACUGAGCUCCCUGCAGGCCUGGGAAGCCCACCGGCCCUGUACCGACUGUGGAGAAAGGGACCUCCCAGUAGAGACAGAUAUGCAGAACUGCAAUCAGAGGCGGGCUGACCUCUGUGAGAAGUGCCGCAAGCGCAGGACGGAGCGCAAGGAAUCUGUGCUGGAGUUUGUCAACACGGAGGCCAGCUAUGGAGAGGACCUGCGCAUCAUCAAAGAGGAGUUCUAUCUCCCCAUGCAGGCAGCUGGGCUGCUGAGUCAGGAGCAGCUCCUUGGCAUCUUCAGCAAUAUUCAGGAGCUCAUUGACCUCAAUGAAAGCUUCCUGGAGAUACUUCAGGAAGAGAUCGAUCAGGCCUUUGAUCAGGGGGAUGAUGACCUGAUGACCGUGUGCAUCGGUGAAAUAUUUCUAGAGUUCGUCAACAUGUUGCCAGCCUUUCAGACCUACUGUCUUCAGCAGUCCUCCUCUGUGAACAUGCUCAAUGCUCUGGAAAAGGAGAAAGAGUUGCUCAGAAUAUUCCUCAAUGUGUCCCAGAAUGACAACACAGCACUGCGACGGAUGAACUUGAGGUCCUUUCUGAUGGCCCCUUUGCAAAGGGUCACAAAGUACCCGCUGCUGCUCAGCAGAAUCAUCAAGGCCACCACUGAGUACCACCCAGAUCACGGCAGCCUGCGGGAGGCCAAGAGCCGCAUCGAGUCCCACCUGGAGCACAUCAACAUGAAAACCAAGCAGGAAGGAAACACGUGGACCCUCCGCUCCUUUCGCCAAGACAGCAAGAAGAAGAGGGAAGUCAUCAACAUAGAAAUGAGGGAAACUGCCCUCAAAACUGUGGGAUGGCUGCGGGAGGAAACACGAUUUGUGAUGGAGGGAUCUCUGCAGCUGGCCCAGCCCCCUGAUGGCCAGUGGGUAAAGAAAGGCAGCAAGACCCUGAAGUUUCAGAACAUGCAGGUCCUCCUCCUGGUGAAUAUGAAACGUGUGUCUGAGUCCAGCCUGGAGUCAGCUGAGCCAGGGCCUGUGAAGGAUGCUGUACUGGUACUCAUCAGGGACAAAAAUAAUGGGAAGUUCCAUUUGCUCAGGGAGCCCUUGAGGCUGAGUAAUUGCAUUGUCUCCACUGAUCCUGACUGUGACGACACUUUUGAACUCAUUGAAAUCAGGAGGGAGGCGUUUGUGUUCCGGGACAGCGACCGGGCACGGACUCACCACUGGUUCCGGCAGAUCAGGCGGUACUCGCGGGAGUUGGGCUCCUGGAAGAAGCGUCGAAACGCACUGCCCAACAUCAUGAUCAGCACGCCUCAUACCAGGCCCUGAAACCGGGGUGGGCAGCACGCAGUGACACUGGGCUUGGCCAGAGCCACAUGCGAGGACCCCUGAGAGCCUGGGUGGCUUGAAUUUGCUCUGCUUCAUGGACAACGUGGAAAGAGUCUGAUGCAUGAACUACUUACUGAGCAGCACUGGAACCAAAUGUUACAGCCUAAUCCCAGUCUCCAGCCUCAGGACUCAGAGCCUGUUUGUGGCUGAUGAACAUACACAGAGGGGCCUGCUAAGGAGCAGACCUCUGGAGGAAAAUAAUGAGUUUAACUUGUUAAUAUUGCACUGUGGGAGAAUGACGUAUGAUGCUUGCUUUUGCAUGAAUUCUGUUGAAAGCCAGUCUUGAUAACAUGAGAGAGGUUUCUACCAUUGACUAUAUUUCAUCAGCAUUAGGUAAAGUCAGGGUCAAAAUUAGGUGCAGUAUUAUGCAGAAGAGGAGAAAAGUUGGAGAAAAUGUUUUCCAUCGCUACUCCUAAGGACUGUAUUUCAUUUUUCAAUUGUAUCUUCAGUCACAAUACUUGUUUUAAAGGUCUUUCAUAUUUAAUCCAAGUCAAGUAGGAGUCAAUUUACUCUGAUCCAGCUGCAUGCACACAGCACACGAGAAAGGUCAGAUGAUAAAAGGGGUUCUUGCGUGUGCACCCCAAAUACAUGUAAAGACCAUUGGAAGAGCAGUAUCCCCCCAGUGGAAGUCUGUAUUUAAUGGACUUAGAGACUGAAACAUUACACUGCAUCUAAAAUAUUUCAGAACUGUAUGUAAAUAUGGCUCUGCUACCACUAAUAGUGAACUUAAAAUGCAAUUAUUUAAAUGAUGUAAUCUAGUGUAUUUCAAAAUUUAACUGGAAGGAACAAUUUACAUUGUCCUGUAGAGAAAACAUAAAAGCUUUUAAUAAUUAUGUUUCAAUGACUUUAGGUGGGUAUUUUUUAAAAGAAAUAUUUGGGUUUUCUGGAGUAGAUAUUUCAUUUGAUGUGAGUGGCAUUUGAGUGAACGAUUGCCUGUGUCUCCUGAACAGAAUUCAGAAGUAGUCCUAAUGAAACUGGGAGGGCAGUGCAGCCCUGCUGCCCUCAGAAACAAUAACUGGCACAAAACGUUGUGCCUGGCCACAGUCCUGCCUGGGCGGGUCAGGCCCCAGUACGUGAGAAAUGAGAGCUGAACCUGAGACCACAAAGCUCCCCUGUAAGGUCCAGCCUCUCUCAGUUCCUCGGCAGGGAAAUUACUUGAAGAUGAACGGUGGUAAAAGGCAAAAAGGCCCUAACCUUUUCAGCCUGACAUUACCACUGACUGUGGCCCUACGAUUACACCAUCAGCAAAAUGUCACGCUGUGACUAACACGACAAAGGCCAUGUUACAGCCUGAGAGGCUAAAUUAAAGGAGCCUGAAUUUUGGUUGGCAAAUUUCAGAGAACAGUCCUUAAAUGUUCAUUCAGCUCCCCAGGGUAAGGACAAAGCCAAUCAGCAUUAUUCACCAUCAACAAGAUACUUCUGAUACACAUAAGGAACAUAUUUGUGUAUCUCUCCAGAGAUCGGCAUCAGCUAGCCCACAGACAAAGGCAGACAGGGCUGUCUCUACAAAGGUGUUGAAGGGAGCACAGCACUGAGCGGUCUCUUCGGCCCUGCGAACGCUCGUGCUGUGGGGUGAGCCUGCACAGGAAGGGUGAGCAGUGCCAACACAUUAACAAGGCAGUAAGUUUCCAUAAUCCUCAAGUACCUUUCUGAACCUGGAUGGUCUCUCUCCUGGGAAGUUGCAGGUCUUUCAGUAUCACAUGCACACAUCUUCCUGGGCAGCCCUAGAGAUUAGCCGUGCUGUACUUUUCCAUUUCUGAUUAACCUGACAAAAUGCUGUCAUAACACAGUGCUUGGAAGCAGGCUACAAGCCAAGGAAGUCAUUUGUUCCAAACUGGCCUUCUUAGGACUAUACAAUACUUUUAUGCCUCUCAGAAUUCAUGACUGACAAAACUAAGAUUACUUUUCAAGACUCCUUCCAACUUACCUUGUUGGUAUAAGGAGGACAGAAGGAAGAGAGAUCCUUCUGGGAUAAAGGGGAAAAAAAAGAAGAACGUCAAAUUACUCCCUUAAUUCAUUGCAACUCAUAAAGAACCAUUAGCAGGAAUUUAGUAUGACUCUUACUGGUAGCUUACCAGGAAAAAAAAAGGGGGGAAGAAAUUGUCAGUCUUUAUCAUAGAGUUUGAGAUCAAAAGGUGCCCAGAAAGACAAUGCUGGAUUAAGAUUUCUCCAUGAGAUCAGGACCCAAAGAAGGAGAGAAAAUCCACUUCAGGAGUAAGCAUGCUGGGUGGGAAAACCUGGAGAAAAAAGAACAACAAACAUGAGGAGACAAGAGUAACAGCUUUAGAAAGCAGAGACUUCUGCCCUAGAGAAAGAUCUGUCUUUUAGGCUGAAGGAAAUGGUGAAUCUCAUUCUGUCCCCAGCAUCCUCAGCAGGACAAGGAUUCACAUCUUCUGGCAUCACAUCAAAGAUACCUCUUCAGGCUUUAUGGAUAAAGCAUCUUUUUGGGAUGUCAGUUUUGCUUCCCCUUAGUACACGUGCUGAGGAUCUUACAUUUUUCCCAACAGAAGCAGUUUGGACGUUUGUAUACCCAGUGUGAAUGUGCAGCUGAACCAACGUUCAGACAAGAGCAUGCUCCCCCUUCUUUCAAGCAAGGGCUUGUUUUGGGACAGUCACUCGCAGGCAGGGCAGUGCCCCAGCGAUGGCUGCCCGGAGCAAGCCAGAAGUGGCAAUGAACACAAGGAGAAAAACCUGCCUGGAAAUAGAUAUCUUAAAUAAUUUACGCCUGGCUCACAGCAAGCGUACAGGAGAUGCUAUGCCGUAAAGGACUGUUCCUUUCAAAGUCAAACACUUACUGACACCCCUUGAACUGAACAGGCAGCCAGCUCUCUGGACAGCCUCUACAUUUCAAUGGAGCUGCACCACAUGACCAAACAGCAGACAGCAGUCAGUCCUUUGAUGAGGGAGGAUGGGCUGCUGAUGAGCAGCCGAGGUCAUUAUCCACACGCAGAGCCAGGAGUCAUCCGUGUUUACUUUCUGCUCUUGUUAAUUGCAUUGGUGUGUAAUGACUUUACUGGCUGAAAAAGGGGAGUGAGGUUCUACAGCACAGAAGGCACUGCUCUGCAGUAAAGGAAGACGUUGUUUGCCCGUAGAGAAAAUCCUCAGCAGUUGCUAACAACUGGAAGCAGUUAAUGACUGCAAGAAAAUCAGGCAACUUAGCAGAUAGCACUACAGCUCAGCAAACACUUAAAUCAAGCACCACAGGGUGAGGAAGGAGCCUCCCUCUGCGUGCUGGCACAUGGUGUGCAGCGCUGUGCAGUGAACCGGGCUCGGAGCAAGCACCUCCAAAAAGGAUUGUUUCAGCUAGAGCAGUUCCUUAAUCCAGUUCAUUGCACAAAGACGUGUGCUGGCACCAGAAAAGGGCAGUCUGGAGGUGAUGAUGUGCCCUUUAACAACUGCCAGCUCGAAGAGGGUGCUGGGCUCGGGCUGAAGUUUAUCAAUUCCAGCAGACAGAGCUGGUUAAACAACCACCCUGAAGUCUCCGCUGCAUCCUGUGCUAUGGCACUGCUCACCCCUAUUUCCUGAAUGGUUUCAGGUCAGUACUUUCAUUGAUCUGCAGGGAUUGAAAGGCAGUGCUAUUAACAAAUAACAGUUAAUCAACUAUUUGAGUACCCUUUUUACUGAAGCAAAGAAGCAGCAGAGAAAUGACGUCAAGAUGGAGGAAAAAAGCUGUAAGCAAACACAAAGACAAUCCAAGAGAGCGCUCGCUGGAACACAUUUCAGGCCAAAGUGGUUCAGAGAACAGCUGUGCUGGCUGUUGAGUCAGACUCUCUGGUGCUCCUGCACUGACUCACUCCCUCCCCUCCCAGCUGCCCGCACACGCUGCAGUGUGUUCAGUACCAAGAAGGAGUUGGUUCAGAGUUCUAUUAUGAGCCAUCAAGCUUCUGCAGACUUCAGAGCUCUGCCUCUCCUUGGCAUUCCUGCUCAGGAACAUGAUUUAGCAGAGGCUAGUUAGUUAUGGUUGUAUGGUUAGGCUGUGGUUGGACUCGAUGAUCUUUAAGGUCUUUUCCAACCUGAGUGAUUCUGAUUCCCCACUGACUCACCUACUCCAUUACUGCUGGGAAAGGGGAGGGUCAGAGAGGAGAGACCUCCAACUCAAUUCUGAGUCUUCCCUUCUUUCCUCUGCUCCCGACUGCGAGACAUAAGUACAGCUUAUUUAGCACCAGCAUUAAGUGCAAAUUCACCAUCCAGGCCAGGAGAUCCUACAAGCUGUCUGUCCAGAGGAAGCUCCAGAAAGAUGCAUGCGCCCAUCUUUUCCUGCUGCAGCUUAGGGAGAAUGUUUGCUGUUUCUUUUUCCCUUCCCCAGACCCAGCUUGGUAAAUACACUAUGCAGACUGCCUCUUGAAAGUAAUGCUUUUCCAGAGGAAGAUGCUAAGCUCUCACAGAACCUAGGAACAGGAAAGAACAAGGGGUUUGCGAAACACCCGAGGGGAAGGUGACGCUGCAGUGUCAGGCACUUGCUCUUCAUACAGCCUUUGACAAAACAAUGCCAUGACUUGCAGACUUUAGAAGCCCUGAGACUUGCUCUUCCAGUUGUCCCUCUCACAGCUCCAGCAUGUCUGCACGUGUGGCACAGCACUGCUAUCUCACCAGCUGCAGAAAGCCACAGGAGAUGCAGAAGCUGGCGGAUCUGGCAUCUACUGAAAACUGUCUAAGUAUAUGGGAUUCAACAUCAGGAAGCAGAGCUGUUCCAUGACCAAACACAUCCAAAGCUGCUGGGACAUUAAGCCAGCAUAAAGCCUUAACACAUGUCCUGCAACAAGAAACCCGUCCUGCCAGGUGGCCUCACAUCCCAAGCCCACAUGCCAAGAACCCUCCAACCUGAGUGGCACCAGUCUGAUGCUCAGGAAGCUUCUAAUUCCUCUGCUCCCACACAUUUCCUGUGUAAGCUUGGUCCCAGUCUCAGAGCCCAAGGGCGUUGUUUCAUGAGCCUUUGCUUUAGAUGGUAGAACUGGCUUAAUUUCUUCCUUCCUCCCACCUCCACAGGGUUGAAGUGAGAAAGAAGCAAACAGUGGCACAAGGUGAGAACAAACACACACUUUUAAAGCUGGACUCAGUGCCAAGGGCCUCAGGAAGUUAUACCCUCAUUUUCCUCAGCUGUGAUAGGGGGACACUAUCUGGCUGUUACAUGGCAGGAUGAGGACAAACGUGAAAUAUUAUGAGACACUCUGAAGAUAAGCCUUGCUGCAUCUUGGACAUGGCAUUAAUAGCCUCCUUCAUAUCUCUCUAUUUUAACUUGUUUAACAAUUUUUUUUUUUUUUUUUAAGUUCUAUCAAAUCUGUGUGCAGCUUGACUAGCACUGACUAGCACUCUGCUUGCCAGCUGGUGACUGUGCUCCAUGUAACAGCGUACACCCAAAGUGAGCCCACAU